rnacentral:rRNA from 1 species
GGGUUGCGAACAGUAUCAAAAGAGCGGAAGUGUUUACCAUAACUGGGGCGCGCGCUGAGACCACGACGUGGAACACCUACCAGCAGAUCGCGGGUCUUGACGUCUGACGUCAGUGAGGAGCGACAAGGAGACCAUCCCUCCAGCCACGACUAAAGUCGGAGUAGUUCGUGCAGCGGUUCAUCUUAGUACCGCCCGGCCGAACGAAGCCACGGCCUCCCAUGGUGGCUGCAGAGCCGACGAGGGAUGGGUCGCUCGUUGGGGAUGGCGCUGAGCUAGGCCCCGCAGCGAGUAGGGGCUCCAGUCAUGUAGUCUAGCUUAGACAAGUGGGUGAGGCCAGUAUGACUAUCGCCCAGGUCGAAGAGACCACGAAGGUCAAUAAUGGGCAGGUUGCUGAGGCCGAGUAGGAGCCCAACCCGCAGCCGACGGCGGCGACGCCUGCUAUUGAGGGUUUAUUCGACAACGUCACCGUGUCAAACCAUUUCGUUCACAAAGACGUUACGAGCAGAAGCAGUCGCGGUAGCAGUGACAAGGGUUCUGUUUGUUCGAAGCCCGACACCAUCUGUACAAGUAGACACAGAGCUCACAUAGUAUGAUGUACAAAUGGUGUGAGCACUAGAGAGGGCUUCGCUUUUCGUAAAAGUCGCUCUAUCCGCCAAGCAACCUCCCCCUUCCUUUGUCCAAUGAGUUCCGGAAUACGUCGUACUACCUCCUCCAGUCUUGUAAGUAGCACCUGCUGCUGAGCACCCGACAGCUCUAAGACGUUCCUUCUCCGCUCCAAGUGUCCUUGUGAGCCAACUACCACCUAACGUAGUACAGGUACUUUUACUGUGCGUGGAGCCGUGCCUCUGUGUCGUCACGUUUGGAAGCACCGGACCAUCUAUUGAGGCAACUAAUAGACUUCCUACACGAGGACUCUUUUAGACUCGAUACGGGCCUAGAUUCGUACUCCAUGGACAAGAACGAGUUGUUAAGGAUAAAGUAUCACGUCCACAGACUCCGUAGCCUGUACCAGUUGGCGGUUUAUUCUCCGACCUGAAUGGAAAGCAACAACAUACGUGUAUAAAGAAAGCAAGACUUCACUUGAGCAUAAGAUUUAAGGUAACCAGUGAACUCGCAGUCUAUGAUGUAGUAGACCAGCGUAAAAGACACACACUAAAAUAUACUUAAGCACUAACAUACGGU